UGCAGAGUAGAGCAGUUCGGAAGCUCGUCUGGUUCGCUGCCAGAAGGUCGCAGGUUCAAAUCCUGCCUUUGCAA
rnacentral:tRNA from 1 species